rnacentral:sRNA from 1 species
AGUUAUUUGGUAUAUAAACGCCUGCCGGAGACUCAGUUGUGGAAUUAUUUUCGAAGUAAAAUUUCAAAAAUGAGAGGUCUGCUGGUGCUGGUCCUAACGUUGGCUCUGAUGACUGGAAGUGCCCUGGGCUCUCUAGCAUUUUGGCAGGCUUUGCUGGGAGGAGGAUCCAGCGCUGGAGCUGGAUCCAGGGCUUCUGCGAUCAGCAGUAGCGUAGGUGGUGGCUUUGGGGGCUUAGGUGGGGGCUUAGGUGGGGGCUUAGGUGGUAGCUUAGGGGGUGGCAUAGGUGGUUUGAACGGUGGUUUGAACGGUGGUUUAUCCUAUGGUGUUCCCCAAAAAUCGUUCCAGGUGGGGCUUGGCUACUCACAUUAAUUCCUCAAAUUUGUCGCCAGAAUCUCCAGCAGUUCCUUUGCGAUGUGGUUAGACAUUCUCAAAUAAAAUGUAUAUGUGUAUGAAUAUU